GCAUAUCAAUAAGCGGAGGAAAAGAAACCAACCGGGAUUGCCUCAGUAACGGCGAGUGAAGCGGCAAGAGCUCAAAUUUGAAAUCUGGCCCCUCCGGGGUCCGAGUUGUAAUUUGUAGAGGAUGCUUCGGGUGCGGCCCCCGUCUAAGUGCCCUGGAACGGGCCAUCGGAGAGGGUGAGAAUCCCGUCUGGGACGGGGUGUCCGCGUCCAUGUGAAGCUCCUUCGACGAGUCGAGUUGUUUGGGAAUGCAGCUCUAAAUGGGUGGUAAAUUUCAUCUAAAGCUAAAUACUGGCCGGAGACCGAUAGCGCACAAGUAGAGUGAUCGAAAGAUGAAAAGCACUUUGAAAAGAGAGUUAAACAGCACGUGAAAUUGUUGAAAGGGAAGCGCUUGCGACCAGACUCGCUUCCGGGGUUCAGCCGGCUUUCGGGCCGGUGUACUUCCCCGGGGGCGGGCCAGCGUCGGUUUGGGCGGCCGGUCAAAGGCCCCUGGAAUGUAACGCCUCUCGGGGCGCCUUAUAGCCAGGGGUGUCAUGCGGCCAGCCUGGACCGAGGAACGCGCUUCGGCACGGACGCUGGCAUAAUGGUCGUAAACGACCCGUCUUGAAACACGGACCAAGGAGUCUAACAUCUACGCGAGUGUUCGGGUGUCAAACCCGUGCGCGCAGUGAAAGCGAACGGAGGUGGGAGCCCCCUCGAGGGGCGCACCAUCGACCGAUCCUGAUGUCUUCGGAUGGAUUUGAGUAAGAGCGUAGCUGUGGGGACCCGAAAGAUGGUGAACUAUGCCUGAAUAGGGCGAAGCCAGAGGAAACUCUGGUGGAGGCUCGCAGCGGUUCUGACGUGCAAAUCGAUCGUCAAAUUUGGGUAUAGGGGCGAAAGACUAAUCGAACCAUCUGGUAGCUGGUUCCUGCCGAAGU
rnacentral:rRNA from 1 species